AGUGAACGCUGGCGGUAGGCCUAACACAUGCAAGUCGUACGGCAGCACAGUAAGAGCUUGCUCUUACGGGUGGCGAGUGGCGUACGGGUGAAGUAUACAUCGGACUCUACUUUUUCGUGGGGGAUAACGUAGGGAAACUUACGCUAAUACCGCAUACGACCUACGGGUGAAAGCAGGGGAUCUUCGGACCUUGCGGGAAUGGAUGGGCUGGCGGCGGAUUAGCUAGUUGGCGGGGUAAAGGCCCACCAAGGCGACGAUGGGUAGCCGGCCUGAGAGGGUGACCGGCCACAUUGGGACUGAGAUACGGCCCAGACUCCUACGGGAGGCAGCAGUGGGGAAUAUUGCACAAUGGGCGCAAGACUGAUGCAGCAACGCCGCGUGCGGGAUGACGGCCUUCGGGUUGUAAACCGCUUUCAGCAGGGACGAAGCUUUUUGUGACGGUACCUGCAGAAGAAGCACCGGCUAACUACGUG
rnacentral:rRNA from 1 species